CCCUGAAUAGCUCAGCCGGUAGAGCAUGAGACUCUUAAGCUCAGGGUCGUGGGUUUGAUCCCCACAUUGGGCA